rnacentral:rRNA from 1 species
UACGUAGGGUGCGAGCGUUAAUCGGAAUUAUUGGGCGUAAAGGGUGCGCAGGUGGUUAUAUAAGUCAGAUGUGAAAUCCCUGGGCUUAACCUAGGAAUUGCGUAUGAAACUAUAUAACUAGAGUGUGACAGAGGGGAGUGAAUUCCAUGUGUAGCAGUGAAAUGCGUAGAGAUGUGGAAGAACACCGAUGGCGAAGGCAGCUCCCUGGGUUAACACUGACACUCAUGCACGAAAGCGUGGGGAGCAAACAGGAUUAGAUACCCUGGUAGUCCACGCCCUAAACGAUGUCAACUAGUUGUCGGAUCUAUAUAAAGAUUAGGUAACGUAGCUAACGCGAAGUUGACCGCCUGGGAAGUACGGUCGCAAGAUUAAAACGUAAAUGAAUUGACGG